rnacentral:misc_RNA from 1 species
UCUCCGUAGGUGAACCCGCGGAGGGAUCAUUACAGAGUUCUCGCCCUCACGGGUAGAUCUCCCACCCACUGUUAUCGUUACUGUCGUUUCUUUGGCGGGCCGCCGGGUCCCCGGCCGCCGGCGCCUAGCUGCCGGCGCGCGCCCGCCAGAGGCCUUCAAACUCUGAAUGUUAGUGUCGUCUGAGUACUAUAUAAUAGUUAAAACUUUCAACAACGGAUCUCUUGGUUCUG